CCUACGGGUGGCAGCAGUGGGGAAUUAUGCACAAUGGGGGAAACCCUGAUGCAGCGACGCCGCGUGAGUGAGGAAGGAUCUCCGUAUGUUAAGCUCCAUUAGUAGGGAAGUAAAUGACGGUACUUGUACAACAAGACCCGGCUAACUACGUGCCAGCAGCCGCGGUAAUACGUAGGGGGCAAGCGUUAUCCGUAUUUACUGGGUGUAAUGGGAGCGUAGGCGGCUAAUCAAGUAGGAAGUGAAAAUCCAGGGCGCAACCUGAGGACUGCAUUUGAAACUGAGAGGCUAGAGUGAGGGGGAGGCAAGCGGAAUUCGUGGUGUAGCGGUGAAAUGCGUAGAUAUUAAGAGGAACACCGGUGGCGAAGGCGGCUGACUGGACUGUAACUGACGUUGAGGCUCGAAAGCGUGGGGAGCGAACAGGAUUAGAUACCCGGGUAGUC
rnacentral:rRNA from 1 species